AUGAAGAAGGCGAUGCCGUCGCCGCCGGUGGAGCCGGCGUUCUGGUUGGAGACGACGAAGGAGAACCUGGCGGCGAAGGAUGCGGUGGCGUUGCCGCUGCCCCGGAGCGCGACGGGUCGGCUGCACAGUACGGUGCCGGCGCUGGAGGACGGCACGCCCGUGUCCCGCGUCAGCCCCACGGAGCCGUUCCGCAGGAAGGCGUCCCCCAGCAGCGUCAGGUCAGAAAAGGAGAGCGUGGCCGAGUCGAUGCUGACGGUGUUGUUCUUCCCCGCCGACGACGACGCGGAGGAGGCGGGCGGCACCAGAGACGCCGCUAGCAGCAGCAGGAGGAGCGGCACGAAGCGGAGGAGCAGGAGGUCGGCGGCCAUCGGUGGUGGUGGUGAUGGCGAGGGUUUCGGGUCAUGA
rnacentral:rRNA from 1 species